AACAAGCCAUAUCCAAACCAUACCACCUAUUUCUGUUUUUAUAGCUGGCUGGGAAUUCCUCUGGGGGGCUGUGGGCAAAUAGCAGGAUGAGGACAACUUUCUGCUUCGGCUAAACCACCUGGGGUGUAGGUGAGACCUCGCCAGGGCUCCAUCUGACUGGUGGAGGAACAAGGGUCACCUAUACUGGGACUCAGGGCCGGCAGAGCAGGAUGUGGGAGAGCACACUGAGAGCAGCAGAAAGAGGACACAGACUCUGGAGGCAGCUGAGGGACUGGACAGAGGGUGGAGUUCAGUGGAGGGAGAGAGUGGACAUCCCCAGCACCGGCUUUCAAUAUUCUAGCACAUUCCACGACUUUUGAAGAACAGAAAAACUGGCGCUCCCUUUGGCAAUUAAAACAAUUUGAAAUCUGGAUUAUUUUCAUCUGGAGCUAGGGACAUCCAGAAUACCACGAGCAUUGAAAUGUUGAACCGAAAGCAGAGAUCACUGGCUUUGAAAGAGCCUGCAGCUCUCCUGCAUGAAACCCUUUCAAGAUACUUCUGGAAAGGUUAGCAGUACUGUGCGGCCAGUGAGUUCCUGGAGGCAGUUGGCAUGAUGCCUAAGGAAAGUGGGAGCCAUGGAUGUUUGUAUGCAGACACUUCCUUCUGAGCACAGCUCCAUUGGUAGAAAGUCAUGAGAUGAUUAUAAUGACAAGACCACAGUAAGGGUAGCUAAGCCCUACCGAGAACCCACACUGAGCAGGGCGCCCCUGUAUUUUUGCAGAUGAAAGCAAUGAAGGCAUGUCUGGUUCACUUCCUAGCAGUAAUUGUGAGGAUGGUUUGACGGCCCCACUGACAGAUGAGAAAGCCGAGGGCAAAUGGUGCUACUUUUCUUCAAGCUCUGCUUCUCUGGGAUACCUGUGGAAGGCAGAUCUGGGCAAAGGCAGAAAAUGUUUCUUUGCCAGAAGCAAGACCUGGGCUGGGAAGAGGGAUCUCCGGGGAAGACCUGCCUCCACAUUUCUAGGCUAAGCCCGGGGGCUUUGUUUACACCUUGAUGGGUGUUUAAUUUGUUGUAAUUUGUCUGUUUGACCACAGGGUUGGCAUGUACAGUUGUGCAGAUGAUGCACUGCACAACUGCAGGAGUUAAGUGGCAUAAGCCUGGGCAACCCAUCUUGCAACCUCUGGGAUGGUGUGUGUGGGUGACCGCACUUGAGAGCUGAGCUGACAGGCGGUAGGGUUAGGAUCGGGUCUCUGUGACCUGGUUGAGAAGCUUCAUUACUCUCCCUGAGCCCAGUUCCUCAUCUGUGAGGUGGGGAUGGAAUGCAGUCCCUUCUCCUCUGGGGUUGCUUGGGAUGACAAAUCACACACAGACCUCCACAGAGCCAGGCCCUGGUGGCCCUCAGUACGGCUUCGUUUCUUGCACUUCCGUCCCCCUGUUGGGACCUCACUGUGCCUGCAUCCUCGUGUCCAGCCCUGUCUGCCCUGGCCGGUGGGCAGGACCCGGUACCUAUCUGUUGGGAGACUGAUGGAGCAACUCAGGGCAGUGGGGCGCUAGGGCAGGUGGCAGCCUGGCAUGUCACUCGGAUCUGGGCUCACCUGCCUUCCCGCCACCCUUCCCUGCCUCCGGAAGCAUCUCCUCAGGUGAGCUCACUCAAGCAGCAGGAGAAAACAGUGUCCACGGACUGUCUUGCAGGAAGGGUGAGAGCUUCAUUUAUCCACACCAUGACUUAAUGUUUCCUAAACUUGGUUGUCAACAUUUAAAAGUUGAGGGAUUGUAUAUACGAACCUGGAUUUCCAACUACUCUUGAAAAAUCAGAAGAUCUAGCCACCGUGGGCCCUCGGCUGCUAUCUGGCAUUCACAGGCUUCAUGCCGGGCGCAUGUCAUCCAGUCCACCACCGAAUGACUCUACCUGCUGCAAGUCCCUGGUUUCGUUUCCCUCCCUUCUGAGGCUGAACUUGAGACGGCUGGCUGUAUGGAGCUCCUUUAUGUCCUCUUGGUCUUCACCUGUGGAACGGGGGUCCCUCGCCAGGGAGAAUCCUGGGGGAUGCCCUCCCACCGUGCCCACGCUCACUACCCAACCUGGGGUGUGCCAUCUACUGACUCUCUUCCUCCCCCGGCCCGUGAGCCGCCAGGCUGCUGCUGCCUUGCUUUGGGACGCAAACAUACACACGUUAUUAGAAGCCCAGAUCAAAGGCGGCGCCCCACAGCCUGCCUCUCAAUGGUCCCUUUGUGCAGACGGAAGCCUGCGAGAGAGUUAGAAUCCAGGGAGAGAGGGAGGGGGCUCCGCACAAAGAUACUUGUCACCAGGAGAAGUCCCCAGAAGAUGAGGUUAAAAGAGGCGCCAGGUGGAGGAUGUACCCUGGCUCCCUGCUGGGAGGCGCGGGUGGAGAAGUCUCCCUUCUGUCCCUUGAGGUUUCAGAGGAAACAGAGGACAGGGGCUGGGCAGGAGGGCGGCCACCGUCUGCCCUCCUGCUCUGGCAGGGUGGUGGGCUCAGGCGCGGGCUGCCGGGGCGGGGGCUCAGAGGCAGAAGAGACAAAAUUGGUGUAUCCUGGGGCGGGUGCUCGGGGAAGGACAGAAGACGCCACGGGCCGGGGCGUCACCUCCGGCCACACAGGCCUGUUGGCUCAGCCACUCAGCAGACCUUUCCAACGCGGCUGCCACGUACCAGGCAAGGUGCGGGGCACGGCGGGCGCACAGGGGACGGACCUGGCGUCGGGGCCCACGUGCAGGGCGGGUGCCGCGCUGUGACCUCCGUCAGACAGAGGGGCACCCCGGCCCCCAGCAGGGCGCCCCGGUUUCACAGGCAUUGUCUCACUGAUCUCCAGGAACAAAGAAGCACUUUGAAGAGUUCAGAUGGGAGGCCAGGAGCCUGCCUGCCAAGGGGCUGAGGGAGGGGCUGGUGGCCUGCAGGUAUGGGGAAGGGGGCUCUCCCGGAGGGGACCCCCUGGGGACCGAAUGGAGGGUAGGCAGCCACUGUCGCGCUGAGCCGCCGAGGAGCUGGGCAGCGUGGAGGGACGGACGGGCCACACCUCCAGCCUGGCAGGGCCCCAGGGUCUACUCUGGACGCUCUUCUAUUCUCGGUCCAUGCUCACUCCCCAGGGGACCACCUCUGGGGCCUGGAUUUGGGCGCCACCUCUAGCCUAUGACACCUCUGGGCAGCUUGCCUCCAAACAGCUGCAGAUCAAGCUGCUGCCACUCACCUGCUGCUCCUGGGGCCCGCGGUCCACCGUGAAGGAGCUCUUCAUCCACCUUGCUCUGCCGACCGGCUCCCCCGGGGCGUCUUCUGCACAGUGAAUGGUGACUCCAUCCUUCUGGUUGCUCAGUCUCCAACCUGCGCAUCUUCCUUCAUUCCCUGCCGCCCCAGGUCCCAUACGUUGGCUGAUCCUGAAGCCUCUAACUUCAAGGCGCAUUCAGCACCCACUCUUUCCAGCCCCUUUGCUGUCAUCACCCUGGUCUACACCACCAUCAUCUCAGACCUGGCCACCUCCCAUCACCCUGCAACCACACUCUGUUUUCAACACAGCAGUCCAGUUCCUCCAGGUCCCAGUCCUUUCUCUUGGGUAAAACUAAAGCCUUUGCUGAGGCCCAUAGGGUCUCAAGAUGUGAUCCUGUCACCCACAACCCCUGCUCCCCUCCCAGCCCCUGAUUCUUUGCUCUCUCUGCUUCAGAAGCAGUGGAAUCCUUGCUGUUUCCAAAACAUCUGUGGCAUGUGCCCACCUCAGGGCCUUUGCACUUGCUGUUCCCAGUCUGGACCUGCCUUCCCGAUAUCCUAUGGUCCCCUUCCUCAUUUUCAAGUCUUUGCUCAAAGGUUGCCAUGUCUGACCUGUGUAUCUGAGACAGUCAUCUCCUGCCCUGGUAGUUCGUCAUCUUCUUUCCCCACUUGAUUUUUACUCUCACAGACACCACAUAUUUCACCCACUGACUGAUUUAUUGUCUGUCUCCCUCGCUGGCAGGUAAGCUUCCUGAGGACAGGCAUUUUUGUCUAUAUAGUGGACACAGAGCCUGGUAUAAAUCAGGGCUCCAGCAAAUCUUUGCUGAAUGACUUGAUUAAUGGAAAAACAGAAACAAAAACAAAAACACCCCCCAUGAUCCCUUCCUCCCUGACUCGGCCUCACCCUCGCCUCCCCAGGGCUGCGACUCACACAGCAGCGCCGCCGAGGCAAGUCCCAGACCUUAGUAGCUACGGAGAGAAGGCUGACCUUUCCAGAGCCGCGGUUCCACGUGGCCAGUCUCCCCGGGGUCUUAUUGGAAGGGCGGACCCUCAGGUCCUGCUCGCUGGCACUGUAACAUGGUCCAGCGGCCGCAUGUGCACUCCGUCCCAAGGAGCCUCCACGAGGCUGCUUGACGACCAGUCUAAGAAAGGAGGACCAAGGGCCUGUCGGGGACCAAGU